rnacentral:misc_RNA from 1 species
GAAAUGCGAUAAGUAAUGUGAAUUGCAGAAUUCAGUGAAUCAUCGAAUCUUUGAACGCACAUUGCGCCCCCUGGUAUUCCGGCGGGCAUGCCUGUUCGAGCGUCAUUUCUACCCUCAAGCUCUGCUUGGCAUUGGGUGGCGGCCCCCCUCACCUGGGGCCCCCCCGAAAAUCAGCGGCGGUGCGGCCGGGCUCCCAGCGCAGUGACUUUUUAUUCUCGCUGAUUGGACCCCCGGGCGACAUCUGCCGGACGGACCCAACUUAAAAAACUUUUCAAGAUUGACCUCGGAUCAGGUAGGGAUACCCGCUGAACUUAA